AUGAGAAAAUCAGCCUUGAGAGAGAGAAUGGCUUGCUCUAGUUCACGUAUAAGGUAACUGGGCACCCCCCGCAGGUUUGAAGCCCAAACAGCCUCUGCGACAAAAGGGGCGGAGCCAACAGCUUGCAGCGUCCAGAUGGCUCAUCAGGCAGAUUUCGCGACGCGUUCCUUGCCCGCCCCCCUCUGAAUUCCCCGGCCGGAGAGCAGCAAACCCUGUGUAAGAUGUUCAGGCUCCUUUUCAAGUGGAUCCACGAAAAGGGCUGACAGAUGAGCGCACAGCGCGGACGGAAGACUACUCAAUUGGGAGAAACUGAGCAGAAGGAAAAAAGGAAGGACCAGUGAUUUUCGAUAAUCUGAGGAAAAAGCAAAAGCAAACAAAUUGAAAUGGGCCAUCCAAGAAACCACUGGAAGUGAAGUGAAAGCAUAGCAUUCGGGUCAAGUCGGUGUUGUGGUUAUCAGGGUGCUCUAAACUCCUCUUUUGUCUUUCCUCUUUCGCCCCUCUAAACCCCUCCUCACUCACCCCCUAACUUUGGAAAAUCAAUAAAUGCAAAUUUCCGAAGAUGA